AGUAAUACCAGGAGAAGCAAGUAACACAUCAACGUCACCUACAACGCCGUCAAAAAUGCCAGCAGAAGCAAGUAGCACAUCGACGUUAUCUACAACGUCGUCAUCAACGACAACGGAAAGCAGUUAUACGGACCCAAUUAACGAAACAACGCCGGAGGAAAGUAGUUACUCAGACCCAACUACUGU